UGCCAAGCUCUCUUUAUACCUUUUAGAUCCUCCCAUCCCUUACUUCCCAAUUAUGGGCACAGUGCCACCAUUGUGACACGUCAACUUCUUCUGACAGGUGGUAUGACAUAAUCCCUUAGUGAGCAUAUCAGACUGGUUCUCAAAACACCGCAAGCAGAAAGAAAAAUGACCCUGGCGCCAGAAUUGUAGACAGAACAAUCCGUGACGUGCACACAUACAUAGACACACACUGCUUUCCCCAGAUAGAAAAACUCUCACUCAGCAUCUUAGAUAUGCUCCUGAGUACACAUUAUCAUCGCAUGGAACAAAAAUAAUAUCAUUAAUAGUCGUCAUUGUUUAUGAAUCAUCACACGUCAUUGAUUAUGAAUCAUUUCAAUAAACACCUUCCAUCACAA